AGCUGUUUCCCUCAGGCGGCCUGUUCCACGCCAGGAUUAGUUUUGCUUCGCAGAUGGGCCGUGGUGGUGAGAGGAAGCAAUCAGUAUGGAAAUGGAGAAAUGGCUUACCAUGCAUGUCCUUCUCCCCAGGAGGGAGGUCGUGGUGCAGGCGAGCAGACGCCAGACUCCUGGACACUUGCCGCCUGCGUUAUGGAGGCUUAGCUAAUAACCUUGCAGGGGUCUUCAGGCUUUUCCACUGGCUCACCUUUAGGCUUCUGACACUUUUACCUACGAUAAUGCAGUAGUUACUUUUUGAAGGACGACCGAAGCAGGAUAUUUCCCUGACCCCUUCAUGGGACCCACGUCAGAGGUGUUUACUCAGCCUGCUGCCCACAACUCCUCACAGGAGGGAGCGCACAAGUGAACGAGGGUGAGGACUGGAGAGCACCAGCACUGGAACAACCCGGCCACUUCGGCGCUACUGGGAUCAAACUCCAUCACUUGGACACACUGUGUUCCACCCCUCGUGGGAGGGAGCAUGCAGGUGAGAGGAUGCAGGAGUCAGGGUGAGCACUUUUGGGCUCCAGCAGGAGCAAACUCUGUGCAGGGCCCUGCAGCAGUGACUGAGGGGC
rnacentral:lncRNA from 1 species